UCUAGUUGAAGAUAUGGAUCCACUUUGGUUGUUUGGGUUGAUCAUUGAAACUUAGGUUAUCUUGAUUGAUUCAAUAGGUUAGUUAUGGGGAUGGAAAAUGCUUCACACCACCAUGUCUUUCCUUAUGAACAAAUUAAUUAGGGAACGUCCUCUAAUCAAUUACUAAUCAACAAAUUGCCAAGGAACGUCCUUGGGCCUAAGGCAUCAAAACAAUUGUCAAUUGCAUAAAGAACUAGAAAGAUCCAACCCUAGCUACUCCAAACGCUUGA
rnacentral:lncRNA from 1 species